rnacentral:ribozyme from 12 species
GUGGGUGACAGUGUGAAUUUGGUUGUUCAUUUAUUUUGUCCAUGUUAUUUUUUUCUUUUUGUUCAUUUCGAUGUUUUUA